rnacentral:rRNA from 1 species
AAACAUGUCUUGGUGAUUUAAUUAUACUAAGUCUGGCCUGCUCAAUGAUUUUUUUUAAAUAGCCGCAGUAUAUUGACUGUGCAAAGGUAGCAUAAUCAUUUGUCUUUUAAUUGAAGGCUUGUAUGAAUGGUUGGAUGAGGGAACGACUUUCUUUAUAUUAGGAAUUGAAUUUAAUUUUUUAGUUAAAAAGCUUAAAUUUAUAAGUGGGACGAGAAGACCCUAUAGAAUUUUAUUUUAUUGUAAUAAUUAUUAUUUUAGGGUUUAAUUAUUAAAUGUUACAAUAAAAUUUUGUUGGGGUGAUGGUGAGAUUUUUAUAACUCUCAUAAUUUAUAUUUUUAUUAAUUAGUAUUUUUAAGAUCCUAUUUUAUGGAUAAUUAGUUUAAAUUACCUUAGGGAUAACAGCGUU